GACGAACGCUGGCGGCGUGCCUAAUACAUGCAAGUCGAACGCAGUGGGGACGGGUGAGUAACACGUGGGUAACCUCCCAUCAGAGGGGAUAACACUUGGCACCAGGUGCUAAACCGAUACAGAUGGAUGGACCCGCGGGGCAUUAGCUAGUUGGUGAGGUAACGGCUCACCAAGGCCACGAUGCAUACGCGACCGGAGAGGGUGAUCGGCGACACUGGGACGGAGACACGGCCCAGACGCCUACGGGAGGCAGCAGUAGGGAAUCUUCGGCAAUGGACGAAAGUCUGACCGAGCAACGCCGCGUGAGUGAAGAAGGUUUUCGGAGCGUAAAGCUCUGUUGUUAGAGAAGCGGUAUCUAACCAGAAAGCCACGGCUAACUACGUGCCAGCAGCCGCGGUAAUAC
rnacentral:rRNA from 1 species